ACGUAUGCCCCCAAGUGCGCCAUUACUAUGCCCCAUAAUGCGCCACUGGUAUUUAGCCUUGGUGCGCCACUAAUGCUCAAUAUGGUGCGCCACUACUAUGAAUAUUAGUAAUUAUUAUUUUUUGCUUUUCUGGUAUUUGCACAGGUUACAAAAUACGUUACAGCACGGAAUAUAAACAUCACACAAUAGAAUUCAUCAUCUUGGUCUCCAAAUUCUAAAUAGCGAACAAAGUUCAAACAUUAGCCAAGUUUAGCUCUCGAGACAUUAGCAAAGUUCAUCAUAUUAGCCGAGUUUGUCAUCACAUUACAAAGUCGAUAUCGAUCAUCUAAACUACCAUCACAUAGAAGAGAGCUGCGAUCACGAUGAGCAUCAUCGCGAUGAAACUGGUGUUCACCCGGUUCCUCCUCUGCUCCCUCCUCUCUCCUGCUAGAUAGCGCGCGUAUCUAGCUUCCGCCUCCGCCCUAGUGGUGUACCCUUUGUAACUGUUACCGCUGAAACGGUGAACUUGUCUCCGACACUCCUCCCAGCCGUCGUAGACUCCGGGAACCUUACCCUUGUACACGACAUACGACGGCAUCUCUAUGCACUAGACAAACAAAACGUUAGUAGCAAUUCACAGACAAUAUAUAAGCAAUAUAUAAGUAUGCAACAAAAGGAUCGGAAGAGAAAAGCAACACAUUAAUAGCACAGUUCAUGGUCCUACUAAUAAAUAGAAUCAAUUACAUAUAAGUUGAACUGACUGUCCAAACUAAAGAGACAUACAAGUUCAUUAAAGUUUAAUUACAACAUGAGCUAAUCGAUAUUUCAGAACUACAUAGCAUCAAUACUUUCGACUCGACUCAGGGACCGGAGCAUGGACGAAGCUGCCGUCUUUCGUGAUGGUCAUGAAUGUGCGGUCGUUGUCAGCCUGCAUUUGUAGCGUUGUUUCUAUUUCAUUGUUGGACGGUUGAUAUUUGAGGUAGAACUGCCCCGAGGUACGAAGGACAUCUUGAUAGAUGAUUUUUGCAAACUCCGACUGGAUGCGAAAGAGUUCUUGUCUGAUGUCCGCGUCUUGGAUUGCCGACAAGCGUGCGGCCCAAUCUUUGAGAUUAGUUGGUAGCAUAAGUUGAUUAUGGUCCCAUACGAUCGCCCGCAUGUCAUGGAGGGCGUAGUAGGCAUCCUUCUGACUGCCAGGCGGCUGCUUGAUGCAGGGGAACCUCGUUACGCGGGUGAACACGUGCUUGCCGUACCUACAAAUUGGCCUCCUGAAGGUGCCUCCAGAUUUGGCGUAGCCGGGGAGAGCAUCAUCAAGAACUUUCUUCAUAUUUGUGUAGUCUUUCUUCGACUGACGGUCCGAGUCAAAAUACGUGGCCAUGGAAUAUUUCGGGCUUAAGAGGAUGAGUGUGCAAUGUGUGUCACUGCACAAAACAUGGAAUGUUAGAAAAAAAAGAACGAUCGAAAUCUAAGAAAUCAUAUGUUACGGGGCGGUGAGGGGAUGACUUACUCGGAAAAGUAAGGCACGAGGAAGUUAUCCUUAUCUGGGUUCGCCAGAAUGACGCCUUCGAGGUAUGAACUCGCGACUUGCCGGUCCCCAGCGCUGCCCAAGAUCUUGGCACACAUGUAGAAGGGGUCGACUAUCACGAUGUCCGGGGUCUUGUCUCUAAUGAUCCGCAUCUCCAUACUGAGCGAAAAUAGCCGAAUGAAGGUGUAGUGCAGCGGAUGAAGGUUAAACAUAGCGAAGAUGUCAUAAAACCGCAGGACGAUCAUACGCCCGAUGGUGCUAUCGACAAAGCCCUUGCCCUCUGGCACCUUGGCCAUGAAAAUCGGGUAUGCCACAUCAUUCUCGGAGAGACGCCGCUUCUCCAUAGAAAGAACACUGUCAUGCAGACUCCGCAUAGCACCGGUUGCAGCAUUGAGCAGAUUAGUCGGUAGCAUCGGCCUACCCGACACAUGCACCCUCCUCGAGAUAUCCUUAGGUGAAGGUGGCCCGUCCUGAGCACGGAUCAUAGUCGGUGCCGGCUAGGUCGCACCCUUGUUAUUUUUUCUUUUCCGUCCCUUCUGCUUCUUCUGCUGUAAUGGGAUCGAGUUCUGCUCAGAGACCACCUUCUUGAGUGCGUUGGGGCUGAUAAUAUUUCGCACCUCGGCUAUCUGAGACUCGGUGAAGGCGGCAGCUGGAGGCGUCUCCUGAGAACUGAACGCCAGACGACGCCUGUUGCAAUUGGGUUUCUUCGCGGUACCAGCUAGAUCGCGAUCGUCUUUUGCAGGGUUGGGUUCUUGAGAAGGAGGCCCCAAGAAUUCGUCACCGUACCCAUGUUCGUUGAAGUACUUAUCGACGUUGGGAAAUGUACCGUCGUCGUCGUCUGGAUCCUGUGCCAUAUGCAUGUCCGGAUCAGCUGACGGCGGUAGCGUUGCAGCGGUCUUGCCAUGGCUUGGCGCCGGCACGACUGGCGGUGUUGUCUGUGGGGUGGUGUCCCCCGCCCCCAAACGAAUCUGGCUCUUCGGCCAAAGCAUGGACCAGCUUAUGCAGGCGCUAAGGGUCAUCACAUCAUCUUCAUCGGCCCCAAGGGGUCGAUACGGAGGUAACAAGUCAUCGCAGCCCCGCACCACCCGAACCAGUUGAACCCUAUACACGGUGGGUGGCAUCGGAUUACCGUGGAACACGCGGUUACCCGGUUGAAUGAUUCUGGCCUUGGCGACAUCGAUCAACUCGCCGUCCACAAAGUGCAGGAGAGUGCAUGGAACGUUGGGGGCGCCCUGCGAAAACAUGUAGGGCAUCAGGGAUGCCCAGUCAAAGGCAAGGAGAUGAAGUCAUCGGCCGAGGCUUAGUUACCGUGAUGGCGUCGAGCUCGGCUAAUGUCAAGGCACCGCCAACGGCGGGCGUGCAAGUGACGGAGGGGCCGCUUGCUGCCGAGGUGCCGGCCGGCGUAUUCUUCCCACACCCGGGUGCAUUAAGCUCCAAUGCCGGCGCCGACGCCGGAGACACCAAUGCCGCCUCCGCCGGAGACACCAAUGGCGCCGGCGCGUUGUGCGAGUUGCUGCCCAUGAAGCUGGGAAUCGGGGGCGGCCCCUGUUGGCCGCCCGUAAUCCAUGCCUGCAGCCCCUCAAGCAAGGUAGGCAUAAUGGCGGUGAUCGUCGCUCCCAGUUGGUCUCGCACUUGCUCUUCAACUAUCUCCGAAAUCCGCGCCACUUGUGCCUUGAGUUCUUUAACCUCGCGCUCCUGGCUUUCCGAGCUGGUCUUUCUCUCCUUUCGCCUAGCCUUAUAGUAUUCCGACCAUUUCGUGGACAAGCCUUUGCCGGCCACACGACCAGCUGACGACGGCUUACUGAACUUAUCCUUGUGUUUCAUUACGUUCAACGCCCUAUUUAAAGUGGUGUCCCAAGGGGAGCUCUGAGACCCCGCGCUACUUCUUUCAGUGUCCUGCGGAAGGAAUGCGAACCAUUUAGAAAUUUGGCUUCAUUAAUUAGAAUGCAACCAUAUGGAGCUAAUUACGCGGGGGUGUAUUCCUUACCAGAAAGCUCAAGCGCCUUGAUCUUCGGAUCCGUGGUAAGCUCCUUUGUUACCGGGUCCACCUUGUACUGGGCCCUGACAUAGUUCCUGGUCUGCUUGUCACGGUAUUUAUCGAAGAGGGGCAGUAGGCCUUGCUCGGCACGCUCCGCGUCCUCCUUGUCCCAUAUAGGUUCCGCCACUCUGUAACCGCCGGGACCGAGUGUGUGGUGUCCUAAGUUCAAGUCCCGCAUAUCUUUCCCCCACUGACUCGAUUCCGCGGAUGCGUUGCUCUCACACUUGAUCUUGAACUCCAGGUAGUCAGCUUUGCUGAUCGAAGGAUUUGUCUCCUUGAUCUUCUCAUAAGUAUCACCACUUAGAAUCCUUCUCUUCACCGCGGCUCUCCAAGUAGCCAGGGCCGUGCUCAUCUUCGUGAGGGCGGCACUGUUCACUUUAUUCCAUGAGAGGCGUGUGUUUUGCGAAGUCACCGGGGAACUUGUAUCAUUCGUGCAGAUCCGUGAAGACGAGGUUGUGCAAAUUCCCUCGGUCAUGAUGCCUUAGGUUCUCGGUGUUGAUCGAGACGGUGCUCCGGAGAAUUCACCCGAGUUGUCCCGCGUACCCACUGACUAAUUCUUUGGGUGCCGUUGGAUGCCCACUGGAGGACUGAUACGUCCAUUUUGCAUCAUGCAUUUAUAUCGAUAUUUAUUGCAUUAUGGGCUGUUAUUACACGUUAUGUCACAAUACUUAUGCCUAUUCUCUCUUAUUUUACAAGGUUUACAUAAGGAGGGAGAAUGCCGGCAGCUGGAAUUCUGGGCCGGAAAAGGAGCUAAUAUUAGAGACCUAUUCCGCACAACUCCAAAAGUCAUGAAACUCCACGAAAGUUAUUUUUGGAAAUAAUAAAAAAUACUGAGCAGAAGAAAUACGUCAGGGGGGCCACCACCUGCCCACAAGGGUGGGGGGCGCGCCCUACCCCCCAGGGCGCACCCCCUGCCUCGUGGGCCCCCUGUUGGCUCUCCGGUGGCCAUCUUCUGCUAUAUGAAGUCUUUCGUCCAGGGAAAAAUCAUAAGCAACCUUUCGGGACGAGACUCCGCCGCCACGAGGCGGAACCUUGGCGGAACCAAUCUAGGGCUCCGGCAGAGCUGUCCUGCCGGGGACACUUCCCUCCGGGAGGGGGAAACCAUCGCCAUCGUCAUCACCAACGCUCCUCUCAUCGAGAGAGGGCAAUCUCCAUCAACAUCUUCACCAGCACCAUCUCCUCUCAAAACCCUAGUUCAUCUCUUGUAUCCAAUUCUUGUCUCAUAGUCUGGGAUUGGUACUAGUAGGUUGCUAGUAGUGUUGAUUACUCCUUGUAGUUGAUGCUAGUUGGUUUAUUUGGUGGAAGAUCAUAUGUUCAGAUCAUAUAUGCAUAUUAAUAUCCCUCUGAUUAUGAACAUGAAUAUGCUUUGUGAGUAGUUACGUUUGUUCCUGAGGACAUGGGAGAAGUCUUGCUAUUAGUAGUCAUGUGAAUUUGGUAUUCGUUCGAUAUUUUGAUAAGAUGUAUGUUGUCUAUCCUCUAGUGGUGUUAUGUGAACGUCGACUACAUAACACUUCACCAUUAUUUGGGCCUAGGGGAAGGCAUUGGGAAGUAAUAAGUAGAUGAUGGGUUGCUAGAGUGACAAAAGCUUAAACCCUAGUUUAUGCGUUGCUUCGUAAGGGGCUGAUUUGGAUCCAUAUGUUACAUGCUAUGGUUAGGUUUACCUUAAUACUUUUGUUAUAGUUGCGGAUGCUUGCAAUAGAGGUUAAUCAUAAGUGGGUGCUUGUUCAAGUAAGAACAGCACCCAAGCUCCGGUCCACCCACAUAUCAAAUUAUCAAAGUACCGAACGCGAAUCAUAUGAACGUGAUGAAAACUAGCUUCACGAUAAUCCCCAUGUGUCCUCGGGAGCGCUUUUCUCUAUAUAAGAGUUUAUCCAGGCUUGUCCUUUGCUACAAAAAGGAUUGGGCCACCUUGCUGCACUUUAUUUACAUUUGUUACUUGUUGCUCGUUACAAAUUAUCCUAUCACAAAACUAUCUGUUACCACUUAUUUCAGUACUUGCAGAGAAUACCUUGCUGAAAACCGCUUAUCAUUUCCUUCUGCUCCUCGUUGGGUUAGACACUCUUACUUAUCAAAAGGACUACGAUAGAUCCCCUAUACUUGUGGGUCAUCAAGGACACUUCAAUAAAUUCCUCCUUGACGGUGCCGAGCACGUUCGGGCGCCGGUCCUUCCGUUGCCUCUUCGGUUGGCUGCCAUCUGUGCGUGCGCUGCCAUCAUCAGUGGUGGCAUCCCCGGCGGCACCAUCAGUGGUGUAAUCCCCGAUGCCACUAGGGGUUGUGUAGUCGGGAUCAGUGUCUUCCGCGGCGUCCUCAUAGCGGUGAGGUUCUUCCUCCAUCUCCUGGGACAACUCCCAGAAUGGCUUGCCUGAACCGCCGGCCUCAUCAUUGUCGGCCAUGUUCGCUCUAAAUAGGAAAAAUGGCUACUAGAGUUAUUGGAUGAGAUCAGGGUAGUAUCUAUUCUUCUCAGAUUUAGAGGAAUAUUUCCGUUUCGGUUGAGAAUCGGGCACCUUCUAGGUCAAGAAAAUUGGGCAUGACCUUUGCUAAUUUUCUUGACCUAGGAGUGCCCCAUUCUCAACCGAAACGGAAAUUAAUCAACAUUCACAUCAGAAGCUGCCAGCAUUGGAAUUAGAAGCUGCCAACAUUGGAACAUCAGAAGCUGCCAGCAUUGGAAUCAUUUCAUAAGAUAAUUUUAUCAAGCAUCCACAUCCACUCGAAUCAAUAGAGCAAACGGAUCAUUUGAUCUAGCUCAUGCCAGGCAAUCAACCAAACCAAAUAUGUACGGGAAAGGCUCAUCAUGUUCACCCACCUCUAUAACAUUUAGGCCUAUCUUCCAUAGUAUGCUGCCUCACUGCCACUAUUUUUAAAUUAAUAGAUACCUUAGAAACCAGAAACGAAAAAGAGAGGGAGGAGCACAAGCAAGGCUCACCGUUCCAGUUGCAGUUCGAUCGGACGAACUCGCUGCUGGUGUGAUAAUCGUUGGGCGGGCGGUUGCUGGUCGGUGUCCCUUUCUGCUCCUACGAACCUGCGUGAGGGAGGAAACAUCAUCAGCAGAAGGGGAGAAGAGCAGUACUACCGUCAUUAAUAAGUGGAACAUAGCAGAGAAAUACAAAAUAUGUCAUGACCAAACUGCAGUAACAACCAACAGUCAUAUUCAACAUUUAAUUAAAGUAUAAGAAAUUAUAUGACACCAGUAAUGAAACAAUACUACGCAUGAUUGAUCUAUGUGAUCUGGGUUACAGUAUCAGCAACCUUGCAUUUCAUUUUAUAAAAAACUGUACUCCAUCACCAAAUUCAUUGAUGUUUCUAAGCAAAAUUCACAAGUUCAGAGGAUCACAAGUUUAGAAGAUCUACAGUAGCAGCAGCAUCACAAGUUGACAAAAUUCAGUGAACUUAAAAGUUAGAACUAGAGCAGCAUCACAACCCUAAUUCCCUUGUUGGGUUUCAUAUUGGGAUCUUGCCACUGCCCAAAAAAUAGGUGCAGUAGGCAGGAUUACAUACAUAAAACAGAGCACUAAGCAGCAAGCAGCAAGCAGCAAAAGGGCACUGAUUUAGUACCAUUGACAGUUCACAGCAGCAAAAUAAAUCCAUUCAUCCAUCUAUUCAAUAUGCAACAGCAACAUCCACCCAGCCGGCUAACAAACAGAGGGGUGGGGAACAGGGAGAGAUUCAGAAUAUCAUUGUUGCUGCAAAAAUCGGCAUUCUAUGAACACGGGAGCGGGCGUGGCCCAGCGUGCGUCGGCGGCGCUGCACGCGCAGGUGGGUGUGGGCAGGGACGGCGGCAACAACAGCAGGCAACGAGCAAAGCAGCAUCAGCGCUAGCAGCGGCGGCGCAGAAGCAGAGCGUCAGCGAGCAGCGGUGGCAAGCAAGGCAGGCGCAGAGGAGCAGGCAACCGUGAGCGGCUACAGGCGCGCGCACGGAUGACGCGGGUGAGCGGCGGGAUGCACGCGGACAGCGCGAUGGCGGCAAGGACCGGCCAGGCGAGGCGAGGCAGUACACGCCCGGGAGAAUCGAGCUCCCUGCCAUGGCGGCCGAGCGCCGGGUCGGCUAAACGGCGACGGAUCGAGGCGGAGGAAUGGGGAACGGGGAGGAGUUCACCGCGGUUCCGGGGACGAGCUCGAGGAGGCCGGGGGUGCAGUGAAGACGACGAAUCCGUCGAUGGCGUCGCGGUGGCCGGAGGUAGAUGACGAGGUGGUCGAUGGCGACGUUGCGGCGGCUCCUCAGCCUUGGCCCAGGGACGAUGACGAUGAAGAGGAACACUGGGCGGCGGCGCAGUGGGUCUGGGCGGCGGCGCAGGUAGGGGCGGUGGCGCAGUGGGUCGGGG
rnacentral:lncRNA from 1 species